UAAGGUUAAGUUAAUAAGGGCGCACGGUGGAUGCCUUGGCACUAGGAGCCGAAGAAGGACGUGACAAACGACGAUAUGCCUUGGGUAGCUGUAAGUAAGCGAUGAUCCAGGGAUUUCCGAAUGGGGGAACCCAACAGGUACUACCUGUUACCCAUAUCUGUUAAGGAUGUGAGGAGGAAGACGCAGUGAACUGAAACAUCUAAGUAGCUGCAGGAAGAGAAAGCAAAAGCGAUUGCCUUAGUAGCGGCGAGCGAAACGGCAGGAGGGCAAACCGAAGAGUUUACUCUUCGGGGUUGUAGGACUGCAAAGUGGACUCAAAGAUUAUAGAAGAAUGAUUUGGGAAGAUCAGCCAAAGAGAGUAAUAGCCUCGUAUUUAAAAUAGUCUUUGUACCUAGCAGUAUCCUGAGUACGGCGGGACACGCGAAAUCCCGUCGGAAUCUGGGAGGACCAUCUCCCAACCCUAAAUACUCCCUAGUGACCGAUAGUGAACCAGUACCGUGAGGGAAAGGUGAAAAGCACCCCGGGAGGGGAGUGAAAUAGAACCUGAAACCGUGUGCCUACAACAAGUUCGAGCCCGUUAAUGGGUGAGAGCGUGCCUUUUGUAGAAUGAACCGGCGAGUUACGAUAUGAUGCGAGGUUAAGUUGAAGAGACGGAGCCGCAGGGAAACCGAGUCUGAAUAGGGCGCAUUAGUAUCAUGUCGUAGACCCGAAACCAUGUGACCUACCCAUGAGCAGGUUGAAGGUGCGGUAAGACGCACUGGAGGACCGAACCAGGGCACGUUGAAAAGUGCUUGGAUGACUUGUGGGUAGCGGAGAAAUUCCAAACGAACUUGGAGAUAGCUGGUUCUCUCCGAAAUAGCUUUAGGGCUAGCGUCGACAUUAGAGAUUCUUGGAGGUAGAGCACUGUUUGGGUGAGGGGUCCAUCCCGGAUUACCAAUCUCAGAUAAACUCCGAAUGCCAAAGAAUUAUGGUCGGCAGUCAGACUGCGAGUGCUAAGAUCCGUAGUCGAAAGGGAAACAGCCCAGACCACCAGCUAAGGUCCCAAAAUAAUUGUUAAGUGGAAAAGGAUGUGGGGUUGCACAGACAACUAGGAUGUUAGCUUAGAAGCAGCUAUUCAUUCAAAGAGUGCGUAAUAGCUCACUAGUCGAGUGACCCUGCGCCGAAAAUGUACCGGGGCUAAAACAAUUUACCGAAGCUGUGGAUACCUUUAUAGGUAUGGUAGGAGAGCGUUCUAUGUGUGAUGAAGGUGUACCGUGAGGAGUGCUGGAACGCAUAGAAGUGAGAAUGCCGGUAUGAGUAGCGAAAGACAGGUGAGAAUCCUGUCCACCGUAAGACUAAGGUUUCCAGGGGAAGGCUCGUCCGCCCUGGGUUAGUCGGGACCUAAGGAGAGACCGAAAGGUGUAUCCGAUGGACAACAGGUUGAUAUUCCUGUACUAGAGUAUGUAGUGAUGGAGGGACGCAGUAGGCUAACUAAAGCAGACGAAUGGAAGUGUCUGUCUAAGCAGUGAGGUGUGAAUUGAGUCAAAUGCUUAAUUCUAUAACAUUGAGCUGUGAUGGG
rnacentral:rRNA from 1 species